rnacentral:rRNA from 1 species
AACGAACGCUGGCGGCAGGCUUAACACAUGCAAGUCGAACGCAUCCUUCGGGGUGAGUGGCAGACGGGUGAGUAACGCGUGGGAACGUGCCCUUCAGUUCGGGAUAACCCAGGGAAACUUGGGCUAAUACCGGAUACGUGCGAGAGCAGAAAGAUUUAUCGCUGAAGGAUCGGCCCGCGUCUGAUUAGCUAGUUGGUGGGGUAAUGGCCCACCAAGGCGACGAUCAGUAGCUGGUCUGAGAGGAUGAUCAGCCACAUUGGGACUGAGGCACGGGCCAAACUCCUACGGGAGGCAGCAGUGGGGAAUAUUGGACAAUGGGCGCAAGCCUGGUCCAGCCAUGCCGCGUGAGUGAUGAAGGCCUUAGGGUUGUAAAGCUCUUUCGUCCGGGACGAUAAUGACGGUACCGGAAGAAGAAGCCCCGGCUAACUUCGUGCCAGCCGCCGCCGUAAUAC